UCAGGCUGCGAUGACGCACUUGCCCUCACUGAGAGCAUGGCUCUAUAACGACAGCUUUUUUUGUGUGUGCUACUCUUCUGAGCCAGA